rnacentral:rRNA from 1 species
CCCAAUUCGUGGCUAAGUGGGAAAGCAGGUGGGACGACCAAAACAACCAGGAGGUUGGCUUAGAAGCAGCCAUCCUUUAAAGAUAGCGUAACAGCUCACUGGUCUAAACAAGUUGUCCUGCGGCGAAGAUGUAACGGGGCUCAAGCCACGAGCCGAAGCCGAGGAGUGCGUAAGCACUGGUAGCAGAGCGUAGUGUGACAUAGUCUCAUUCCUCCUUAGCGGGUUCGCCCGCCUUGGAGGAGAGAGGCUUUCGAUGAAGCCGGGGCGUGAGCCAUCCGGUGGAGAGAUCACUAGUGAGAAUGAUGACAUGAGUAGCGACAAAGAGUGUGAGAGACACUCUCGCCGAAAGUCCAAGGGUUCCUGCUUAAAGCUAAUCUGAGCAGGGUAAGCCGGCCCCUAAGGCGAGGCCGAAA